GGGGUGUAUAGCUCAGUGGUAGAGCAUUCGACUGCAGAUCGGGAGGUCCCAGUUCAAAUAUGGGUACCCCCA
rnacentral:tRNA from 1 species